UACCCAUGUCUUUUGAGUACCUUACGUUUCCUCGGUGGGUUCGCCCACCGAUUGGACAAAUUUAAACCCUUUGCAGUUGAAAUCAGCGUCUGAAAAAACUUAAUAGUUACAACUUUCAACAACGGAUCUCUUGGUUCUGGCAUCGAUGAAGAACGCAGCGAAAUGCGAUAAGUAGUGUGAAUUGCAGAAUUCAGUGAAUCAUCGAAUCUUUGAACGCACAUUGCGCCCCUUGGUAUUCCAUGGGGCAUGCCUGUUCGAGCGUCAUUUGUACCUUCAAGCUCUGCUUGGUGUUGGGUGUUUGUCUCCUGUAGACUCGCCUUAAAACAAUUGGCAGCCGGCGUAUUGAUUUCGGAGCGCAGUACAUCUCGCGCUUUGCACUCAUAACGACGACAUCCAAAAGUACAUUUUUACACUCUUGACCUCGGAUCAGGUAGGGAUACCCGCUGAACUUAAGC
rnacentral:rRNA from 1 species